rnacentral:tRNA from 1 species
GGUUUCUUGGCGCAGUUGGUUAGCGCGUCUCCUUAACACGGAGGAGGUCGCCGGUUCGAACCUGGCAGAAAUCA